rnacentral:lncRNA from 1 species
CGCGCCGUCAGCCCGUCAGGCCCACGCCGCGGCGAAGUUUUGACAGCUGCUCCAGUUGUUGUGGCCUUUUCAGCUUUAUUAUAUGUACAGUCAAAGGAAGCUUGGGGCAGGGAAGAAAGCUGCCGCAAUAAAGGUAAGCUACAAAUUAAAAGGAGAGAGGAAAUUGGGGUUUCUAGACAAUUAAAUUACUUAUCAUUGUAGUAUAUUGAACCCAGAACUGCACACACAGCUAAGCUAGCACUCCACCACUGAGUUUUAUCCCUAGACUGAAUCGGUUUUAAAGAUUUUUUUUUUUUAAAGAAAUGUUUUCUUUUGUUUGUAUUCAUGUCCGCAUGAGUUUAUGUGCACCAUGUAUGUGGAGAUACCUGAGAAGGCCAGAAGGUGUCCAGUUCCCUAGAAUGAGGUUACAGGCAAUUGUGAGCUGCCAUGUGGGCACUGGAAAUCAACUCCAGUUUCCUGCAAGAACAGUACUCUUAACCGCUAAGCCAUCUCUUCAGCCCCUGGACCUGGCUUUUAAAUGUAAACUUUUAAAAUAAGGCUGUUUUCUUUUGAUACUAGAAUAAGAAUAGUAUUCAUCUAAAGAAAAUUAAAUGUUAUAUUACUGUUGCUAUGGUUAAAAUAGAGGAAUGGGCAUGGAACCAGGUAUAGUAGCCCAUACCAGGACUAGAAAGGCAGAGGCAGGUGGAUCUCUAUGUGUUUGGGGCCAGCAUGGUCUGCAUAAGACAACCCAACCAAGACUACAUAGUGAGGCCCUGUCUUUCAAAAACAAAAACAAAAACAAAAAAAUUAGGGCUGUACAUAAUGAAACUUAGGAUACUUGGCUUCAGAUAUGUAGUUAUUCGUGUAAUUCAUAAAACAAAAGUACAAGGUGAUAAUAGAACUUAAUAAAAAAACAACUUGUAAAAUAUAGCUGAAAAUCAACUCGGCUUGAUGAUACAAACCUAUAACCAGUACUUGGGAGGAGGGAGCAGGAGGAUGAGUUCAGAGACAUUUGGCUCUCUGUAGUGGAUUGGAAGCCAGCCCAGGAUAUGCAUGGCACCCUAUCUC